CGAAUUGCGCUCCAGUUUAACUCCUGCCUAUAACAACUUUAUGGGAUUCUUCCAUGCCAUUGACUGGAGGGAGCCAUGGUUGAUAUGCCUAGUUGCUUUCCAUGCUGUGCUCUUCCUAGUGGCAAUCAUUACAAGGAGGAAUACUAAUUUUCAGAUGUGCUUGUUCCUUCUUGCAUGUAGGUUUCCUGAUGACAACCUUUGUUCAACAGUUAACGAUAACUGUUCAUUUAUCUCCCUUAAUGACGUGUUUCAACAGAUUGCAAGUCUGAAUUACCUAUGCUUUCAUGUGUUUAUGUCUAAUAUCUAGUUAGAGAACUUCACCAGAUGGAUUUUAGCACCAUCUAAUCUAUCUUACCCAUCAGCCAAAUCUGAAUCCUACAAGAAAAAAUGAUCAAACCCACUUUAUGCUACUAAAGCAAAUGAUAUCCUUCAAGUGGUUGGAGCCGUAGGUUAAUUGAUUGUGAAUCAGUGAAGAAUGGUGAAAAAUCGUGACUCAGAAGAGCUGCCACAUGUUCCAAACCCAAGGUGAAAAUUCAUCAGCUGAGUUGUGUGGUAAGGACAUGUAUAGGUGAGAAAAUCAAGUUAAAUCGUUGAAGAUAGACGAAAGGGCCUGUGAUCAGUCAUGGAAGAGAUAUGGCAUAUUAAGUACGUUUCUACGGAGAGGAAUGAAGGUCUCUGACUCUCUGGUUAAGGAAUAGCUCAUGGCUAGUAAAUAUAUUGGACGAAGGAGGAGUACUGAAUGAGGGGCAUUUGGGUCUCAGAAAAGAAAAGGGAAAAAAAAUAGAGUGCAGUGCAAUUAUAGAAAAAAUGGAGUGACAUUUACAUAUUAUUUAUCUAUUCCGUAUGAUGAUUGAAAUACUUAAUGCUAAAAGUUAGGGGAAAGCAAGACUACAGUUCUCAAAUUGUAACUUCUGCUUUUAGUCACCUCUGGCAAUCUCUGCUUUAUGCAUGCAAUCGCUCACAGGAGAAGAAAAAGCAACUAAAAAGACGCAUGCAUAAAAGCCAACAAAAUGAGCACUUUUUUGUUUCAUGAUUGUUAAUCUAACACAAAAGCUGCAUAGUAAUAUAUCACAAAGGAGCUAUAUAAUAGGCCAAGGGACAUGAAGUUUUGUCCCUUUCAUUCAUAUUCUGUUUAUGUUUGUUACAAUGUACUCUUGUACGUGCUUGGAUGUUUUCGAAGUUCCACUUUUGCUCUCACACUGCUUCCUUCAAUGACUUUUGAACUUCUCUCACUCGAGCUUCUUGAAAGUUAAAAAAGAAAAAUGAAAAAAAA